rnacentral:rRNA from 1 species
UACAGGGGGUGCAAACGUUGCUCGGAAUCAUUGGGCGUAAAGCGCACGUAGGCGGUCUGUUAUGUCGGAUGUGAAAUCCCCGGGCUCAACCUGGGAACUGCAUUUGUGACUGCAUCGCUAGAGUACGGCAGAGGGGGGAUGGAAUUCCGCGUGUAGCAGUGAAAUGCGUAGAUAUGCGGAGGAACACCGAUGGCGAAGGCAAUCCCCUGGGCCUGUACUGACGCUCAUGCACGAAAGCGUGGGGAGCAAACAGG